GCGGAAGUAGUUCAGCGGUAGAACACCACCUUGCCAAGGUGGGGGGUUCGCGGGUUCGAGUCCCGUCUUCCGCU
rnacentral:tRNA from 1 species